GGAGUACAUCGCCGGAGAUCGAACCAGGAGGCUUGGAUCAUCUGGAUCUCUUCUAAACCCUUCCCGAGCCCUUCUCCCUGCGCGUGCCGACCCCUUUAUUCUCCGAUCGACGCCGCUGGAUCAAGCCAGAUCCACCGAUUUGCCGGCAGGAAGAGGCGUUUAGGGCUCCGAGGGUAAGGUUAGGUGGUUGAUUCGAUCGGUGUUUGGAUUGGUGAUCUUUUUGCUUGAUUCAUUGAUUGAGCCGAUUGAUCCAGUGAGAUAGGUUCUGUGAAGGUGAUCUUGGGUCUCCUCUUCCUUGUUGCUAAUUGAGAUUCCGGUUGAAGUGAGGGGAGGUGAGGUUCCAUUCUUGCUGUGGAAUUGUGUUUGGUUCCGGCAGUAACAAUCACCUCAAUCCAGCAUCAACAGUAGGUUCGAUCUGCUCUGUUCUAUUUGUGAACUUUCUGAUUUCGGCAGUAAACCAUCCAGCAACAACAACAACUGGAUUUGAGGUUGAGGCCGUCAGGAGAGAUUCCAGUCGCUAGCCCCG